CUUUGUGUGGCAAAGGCGUGUCACGUUGUGCAUUUUUAUCUGCCAAAAGAAAAACAAAACAUCUAAUCAUGUCAUCUGCAACCCUUCAGGUUCAGGAAGAAGAAGAACACUAGAGAAAACAGCAAAUAGAAGCCAAAACGCCAUUUUUGGACCUUAAGGCGUUGAUUAUAGCUGGUGUGAAUUCUUCAAGGAGGUUAAUCGAUGUUGAGUUAGUCUCGUAAGCUAAAAUUGCUUGGGGAUUAAGCAAAGAGAGGGAGAUUGUAACUAUCAUAGAAGGUCACGCUUAGGUUAGAUAUCAAAAUCCAUGAAGGCUAUUGUUCAGGAUGUACAAAAACAUUGAGGAAGUCUCGAAUGAAGUGUUUGUAAUUUUAUUUUCCAAGCAAUUGACGUAACUCCCUUUU